UUUAAUUGAAACCAAAAAGAGGUAAAUCACUGUUAAUGAUAUAACUGAGAAAAUUUUCCAAUUAA
rnacentral:tRNA from 1 species